rnacentral:rRNA from 1 species
UACAGAGGUCUCAAGCGUUGUUCGGAUUCAUUGGGCGUAAAGGGUGCGUAGGUGGCGCCGUAAGUCGGGUGUGAAAUUUCGGAGCUUAACUCCGAAACUGCAUUCGAUACUGCGGUGCUUGAGGACUGGAGAGGAGACUGGAAUUCAUGGUGUAGCAGUGAAAUGCGUAGAGAUCAUGAGGAAGACCAGUGGCGAAGGCGGGUCUCUGGACAGUUCCUGACACUGAGGCACGAGGGCCAGGGGAGCAAACGGG